UUUCCGUAGGUGAACCUGCGGAAGGAUCAUUACCGAAUUUAAUUCCGUUGUUGUAGCUGGCCAUUAUUUUGGCAUGUGCACGCCCUGGUAAUCCAAAUCAUUUAUACCUCUGUGCACUAUUAUGUGGGAUUGAUGUGGCUUUGGUGCUUGCCUCAAUGGCAUUAUCAUUCUCAUCUUUAUCAUACACUCUUUAGUAUAGAAUUUUAUUACGUUAGACGCAUCUUAAUACAACUUUCAGCAACGGAUCUCUUGGCUCUC
rnacentral:misc_RNA from 1 species